rnacentral:rRNA from 1 species
UACGUAGGGUGCAAGCGUUAAUCGGAAUUACUGGGCGUAAAGCGUGCGCAGGCGGUUUUGUAAGUUUGUCGUGAAAGCCCCGGGCUCAACCUGGGAAUUGCGAUGAAGACUGCAAGGCUUGAAUCUGGCAGAGGGGGGUAGAAUUCCACGUGUAGCAGUGAAAUGCGUAGAGAUGUGGAGGAACACCGAUGGCGAAGGCAGCCCCCUGGGCUAGCACUGAUGCUCAGGCACGAAAGCGUGGGGAGCAAACAGG